GUUCCGGUGACCUAGUGGUUAGAGCGUUCGCCUCGGAUGCGAAUGAUCGCGGGUUCGAUCCACGGCCGAGUCA